rnacentral:sRNA from 1 species
GCUGGGCUUGGUGGUGCAAGCCUGUAAUCCCAGCAGCUCAGAAGGCUGAGGCAGGAGGAUCAUGAGUUCAAAGCCAGCCUCAGCAAAGGCGAGGCACUAAGUAACUCAGUGGCACCCUGUCUCUA